UACGUAGGGGGCAAGCGUUGUCCGGAAUCAUUGGGCGUAAGAAGCGUGUAGGCGGCUCGAUAAGUCCGCUCGUGAAAGCCCGGGGCUCAACCCCGGGAGGCGGGCGGAAACUGUCGGGCUAGAGUCCGGAAGAGGCGAGUGGAAUUCCCGGUGUAGCGGUGAAAUGCGCAGAUAUCGGGAGGAACACCAAUGGCGAAGGCAGCUCGCUGGGACGUGACUGACGCUGAG
rnacentral:rRNA from 1 species